rnacentral:miRNA from 1 species
UGCAUAUUUUGGUAAGAUAUUAACAAAAGUUGUUCGUCUUGGUGAGGGCUACAACUUUGCUUAAUAUCGUCUUACCAAAUUAUGCUUAUUUAAGGAGAUAAGUCCACGCAUGCGCAGUACGUAACUCCUUACGCUUGCAUAUUUUGGUAAGAAGAUAUUAACAAAAGUUGUUCGUCUUGGUGAGGGCUACAACUUUGCUUAAUAUCGUCUUACCAAAUUAUGCU